GACAGAGGUGCCAAGCGUUAGGCGGAAUCACUGGGCUUAAAGCGUGUGUAGGUGGAUGUCUAAGUACCUUGUGAAAUCCCAUGGCUCAACCAUGGAACUGCUCGGUAUACUGGACGUCUUGAGCCAGCUAGGGGCUACCGGAACAAAUGGUGGAGCGGUGAAAUGCGUAGAUAUCAUUUGGAACGCCAAUGGUGAAAACAGGUAGCUGGGGCUGUGCUGACACUGAGACACGAAAGCCAGGGGAGCAAACGGG
rnacentral:rRNA from 1 species